UACAGAGGUCCCGAGCGUUGUCCGGAAUCACUGGGCGUAAAGGGCGCGUAGGUGGCGUCCCAAGUCGAUGGUGAAAGCUCGCCGCUCAACGGCGAGUCGGCCACCGAUACUGGGUUGCUGGAGCACUGUAGAGGCAGAUGGAAUUCCGGGUGUAGCGGUGGAAUGCGUAGAGAUCCGGAAGAACACCGGUGGCGAAGGCGGUCUGCUGGGCAGUUGCUGACACUGAGGCGCGACAGCGUGGGGAGCAAACAGG
rnacentral:rRNA from 1 species